rnacentral:rRNA from 1 species
GUGGGGAAUUUUGGACAAUGGGCGCAAGCCUGAUCCAGCCAUUCCGCGUGCAGGAUGAAGGCCUUCGGGUUGUAAACUGCUUUUGUACGGAACGAAAAGCCUCUGGUUAAUACCCGGGGGUCAUGACGGUACCGUAAGAAUAAGCACCGGCUAACUACGUGCCAGCAGCCGCGGUAAUACGUAGGGUGCGAGCGUUAAUCGGAAUUACUGGGCGUAAAGCGUGCGCAGGCGGUGAUGUAAGACAGUUGUGAAAUCCCCGGGCUCAACCUGGGAACUGCAUCUGUGACUGCAUUGCUGGAGGGCGGCAGAGGGGGAUGGAAUUCCGCGUGUAGCAGUGAAAUGCGUAGAUAUGCGGAGGAACACCGAUGGCGAAGGCAAUCCCCUGGGCCUGCACUGACGCUCAUGCACGAAAGCGUGGGGAGCAAACAGGAUUAGAUACCCGAGUAGUCC